CUACGGGAGGCUGCAGUGGGGAAUAUUGGACAAUGGGCGAAAGCCUGAUCCAGCAAUGCCGCGUGAGUGAAGAAGGCCUUAGGGUUGUAAAGCUCUUUUACCCGGGAUGAUAAUGACAGUACCGGGAGAAUAAGCUCCGGCUAACUCCGUGCCAGCAGCCGCGGUAAUACGGAGGGGGCUAGCGUUGUUCGGAAUUACUGGGCGUAAAGCGCACGUAGGCGGCUACUCAAGUCAGAGGUGAAAGCCCGGGGCUCAACCCCGGAACUGCCUUUGAAACUAGGUAGCUAGAAUCUUGGAGAGGUCAGUGGAAUUCCGAGUGUAGAGGUGAAAUUCGUAGAUAUUCGGAAGAACACCAGUGGCGAAGGCGACUGACUGGACAAGUAUUGACGCUGAGGUGCGAAAGCGUGGGGAGCAAACAGGAUUAGAUACCCCUGUAGUC
rnacentral:rRNA from 1 species